UUCAAGAUAAGAUAUCUCACCAGAAAUGGUUAAGGUCCCUGAUAGACGAUCAGGUAGAUAGGCUGGAUGUGGAAGUAUGGUAACAUAUGGAGCUGACCAGUACUAAUCGACCGAGGUCUUGAUCCAAG
rnacentral:rRNA from 1 species